rnacentral:rRNA from 1 species
AUUGAACGCUGGCGGCAUGCUUUACACAUGCAAGUCGAACGGUAACAGGCCUUCGGGUGCUGACGAGUGGCGAACGGGUGAGUAAUGCAUCGGAACGUACCCAGAGGUGGGGGAUAACGCAGCGAAAGCUGUGCUAAUACCGCAUGUGAUCUGAGGAUGAAAGCGGGGACCGAGCAGCAAUGUUUGGCCUCGCGCCUUUGGAGCGGCCGAUGUCGGAUUAGCUAGUUGGUGGGGUAAAGGCCUACCAAGGCGACGAUCCGUAGCUGGUCUGAGAGGACGACCGGCCACACUGGGGCUGGGACACGGCCCAGACUCCUACGGGAGGCAGCAGUGGGGAAUUUUGGACAAUGGGCGGAAGCCUGAUCCAGCAAUGCCGCGUGCGGGAAGAAGGCCUUCGGGUUGUAAACCGCUUUUGGCAGGAACGAAACGGUGUCCGCUAAUACCGGGCGCUAAUGACGGUACCUGCAGAAUAAGCACCGGCUAACUACGUG